rnacentral:rRNA from 1 species
AGCAGUCGCCACGGGAAUACGGAGGGUGCAAGCGUUAAUCGGAAUUACUGGGCGUAAAGCGCACGCAGGCGGUCUGACAAGUCAGAUGUGAAAUCCCCGGGCUUAACCUGGGAACUGCAUUUGAAACUGUCAGGCUGGAGUCUUGUAGAGGGGGGUAGAAUUCCAGGUGUAGCGGUGAAAUGCGUAGAGAUCUGGAGGAAUACCGGUGGCGAAGGCGGCCCCCUGGACAAAGACUGACGCUCAGGUGCGAAAGCGUGGGGAGCAAACAGGAUUAGAUACCCCGGUAGUCCCUGUCUCUUAUAC